rnacentral:rRNA from 1 species
CGCAAGCCUGACGGAGCAAGACCGCGUGGGGGAGGAAAGCCUUUGGAUUGUAAACCCCUUUUCUCAGGGAAGAAGUUCUGACGGUACCUGAGGAAUCAGCAUCGGCUAACUCCGUGCCAGCAGCCGCGGUAAGACGGAGGAUGCAAGCGUUAUCCGGAAUUAUUGGGCGUAAAGCGUCCGUAGGUGGCAAUUCAAGUCUGCUGUCAAAGACAGUAGCUCAACUACUGCAAGGCAGUGGAAACUGAAUAGCUAGAGUGCGGUAGGGGCAGAGGGAAUUCCCGGUGUAGCGGUGAAAUGCGUAGAGAUCGGGAAGAACACCGGUGGCGAAAGCGCUCUGCUGGGCCGCAACUGACACUGAGGGACGAAAGCUAGGGGAGCG